GACGAACGCUGGCGGCGUGCCUAAUACAUGCAAGUUGAGCGCUGAAGGUUGGUACUUGUACCAACUGGAUGAGCAGCGAACGGGUGAGUAACGCGUGGGGAAUCUGCCUUUGAGCGGGGGACAACAUUUGGAAACGAAUGCUAAUACCGCAUAAAAACUUUAAACACAAGUUUUAAGUUUGAAAGAUGCAAUUGCAUCACUCAAAGAUGAUCCCGCGUUGUAUUAGCUAGUUGGUGAGGUAAAGGCUCACCAAGGCGAUGAUACAUAGCCGACCUGAGAGGGUGAUCGGCCACACUGGGACUGAGACACGGCCCAAACUCCUACGGGAGGCAGCAGUAGGGAAUCUUCGGCAAUGGACGAAAGUCUGACCGAGCAACGCCGCGUGAGUGAAGAAGGUUGUCGGAUCGUAAAACUCUGUUGGUAGAGAAGAACGUUGGUGAGAGUGGAAAGCUCAUCAAGUGACGGUAACUACCCAGAAAGGGACGGCUAACUACGUG
rnacentral:rRNA from 1 species